CGUAAACCGACACAGGUGGAUGAGGAGAGAAUCCUAAGGCCGACGGAAGAAGCAUUGUUAAGGAAUUCGGCAAAAUGACCCCGUAACUUCGGGAGAAGGGGUGCCUGCGAGAGCAGGCCGCAGAGAAUAGGCUCAAGCAACUGUUUAGCAAAAACACAGGUCUAUGCGAAACCGAAAGGUGAAGUAUAUGGGCUGACGCCUGCCCGGUGCUGGAAGGUUAAGAGGAGAGGUUAGCGUAAGCGAAGCUUUGAAUUUAAGCCCCAGUAAACGGCGGCCGUAACGAUAACGGUCCUAAGGUAGCGAAAUUCCUUGUCGGGUAAGUUCCGACCCGCACGAAAGGCGUAAUGAUUUGAGCACUGUCUCGACAAUGCAUCCGGUGAAAUUGAAGUACCAGUGAAGAUGCUGGUUACCCGCGCCAGGACGGAAAGACCCCAUGGAGCUUUACUCCAGUUUGAUACUGGGAUUCGGUACUGCAUGUACAGGAUAGGUGGGAGACGUAGAAGGAUGGACGCCAGUCUGUCCGGAGUCGCUGUUGGGAUACCACCCCUGUAGUACUGGGUUUCUAACCAGUUACCAUGAUCUGGUAAUGGGACAAUGUCAGGCGGGGAGUUUGACUGGGGCGGUCGCCUCCGAAAGGGUAUCGGAGGCGCUCAAAGGUUCCCUCAGAAUGGUUGGAAACCAUUUGAAGAGUGCAAAGGCAGAAGGGAGCUUGACUGCGACACCGACGGGUGGAGCAGGUACGAAAGUAGGACUUAGUGAUCCGGUGGUAUAAAGUGGGAUUGCCAUCGCUCAACGGAUAAAAGCUACCCUGGGAUAACAGGCUUAUCACUCCCAAGAGUUCACAUCGACGGAGUGGUUUGGCACCUCGAUGUCGGCUCAUCGCAUCCUGGGGCUGUAGCAGGUCCCAAGGGUUGGGCUGUUCGCCCAUUAAAGCGGUACGCGAGCUGGGUUCAGAACGUCGUGAGACAGUUCGGUCCCUAUCCGGCGCGGGCGGAGGAUAUUUGAGAGGAGCUGUCCUUAGUACGAGAGGACCGGGAUGGACGGACCACUGGUGUAUCUGUUGUCGACCAACGGCAUGGCAGAGUAGCCAAGUCUGGAAGGGAUAAACGCUGAAGGCAUCUAAGCGUGAAGCCCCCCUCAAGAUGAGAUAUCCCUCCUUCGGGAGUAAGACCCCUUGAAGACUACAAGGUAGAUAGGGCAGAGGUGGAAGCAUGGCAACAUGUGGAGCUGACUGUUACUAAUAGGUCGAGGGCUC
rnacentral:rRNA from 1 species